rnacentral:rRNA from 1 species
AUGGGGAGGUACGACGGCGGGAAGGAGGCGGCGGACACGCAGCUGGGCUACCCGCUGGUGGCGGUGUGCAUCGACAAGGACAAGAACAGCCAGAACGCGCUCAAGUGGGCCAUCGACAGCAUCGUGGGCAAGGGCCAGACCAUCGUCCUCGUCCACGUCAACACCAAGGGCGUCUCCGGCGGCGUGGAGGACGCCGCCGGGUUCAAGCAGCCCACCGACCCGCACCUCAAGGACCUCUUCCUCCCGUUCCGCUGCUUCUGCACCCGCAAGGACAUCCAGUGCAAGGAUGUGGUGCUCGACGACCACGACGUCGGCAAGUCCAUCAUCGAGUUCGCCGCCCACGGCGCCGUCGAGAAGCUCGUCACCGGCGCCUGCACGCGCGGCGGCUUCGUCAGGUUCAAGGCCGACAUCCCCACCACCAUCUGCAAGGGCGCGCCGGACUUCUGCACCGUCUACGUGAUCAACAAGGGCAACAAGGUGUCGGCGCAGCGCAACUCCAUCCGCCCGGCGCCGCGCGUGUCCCCGCUCCGGUCGCAGAUCGUGAACAUGAGCGCCGCGGCGGCCGCGAAGCCCCCGGAGCCGGCCGUGCCGGUGCCGGCGAACCAGAAGUGGUCGAUGUCGUCGAGGGGCAGCGACGGGGAGACGCCGAGGGUGGAUCCCUUCAUCCGCUCGCCCUUCACGCGCGGGUCCAUGGGGCCGACGAGGAAGUCGUACGCCGACCUGAGCCACAUGUCCAUGCCGGACUCGGCCGACAUCUCCUUUGUCAGCAGCGGCGGCCGCCGGUCCACCGCGGAUGUGUCGGACAUCUCCUUCAUCAGCAGCAACGGCGGCCGCCGGAGCAUCGACUACUACCAGCAGUCCGCGCCGCGCAUGUCCAACGGCUCGUCCCUGGACAGCUACGACCACAGCUUCGAGAUGACGCCGAACAAGUGGGGUGGCGACUCCUUCACCGGCGGCGACAUGUCCUUCUCGCAGAGCAGCGCUUCCUCCUUCUGCUCCAGCGGCAUGGACGACGUGGAGGCCGAGAUGAAGCGGCUCCGUCUGGAGCUGAAGCAGACCAUGGACAUGUACAGCACCGCCUGCAAGGAGGCGCUGAACGCCAAGCAGAAGGCAAACGAGCUGCAGCGGUGGAAGGCGGAGGAGGAGCAGAAGAGGCAGGACCAGCAUAUCACGGAGGAGUCGGCGCUUCAGAUGAUCGAGCGCGAGAAGGCCAAGGCCAAGGCGGCCAUGGAGGCGGCGGAGGCGUCGCAGAGGAUCGCCGAGCUGGAGGUGCAGAAGCGGAUCAGCGCGGAGAAGAAGCUGCUCAAGGAGGCCGAGGAGCGCAAGCACCGCGGCGGCGGCGGCGGCGGCGGCGAGCUCCGGUACCGCCGGUACACCAUCGAGGAGAUCGAGCAGGCCACCGCGCACUUCGACGACGCGCGCAAGGUCGGCGAGGGCGGCUACGGGCCCGUGUACAAUGGCUACCUGGACCACACCCAGGUCGCCAUCAAGGUGCUCCGGCCGGACGCCGCGCAGGGGAGGUCGCAGUUCCAGCAGGAGGUGGAGGUGCUGAGCUGCAUCCGGCACCCCAACAUGGUGCUCCUCCUCGGCGCGUGCCCGGAGUACGGCUGCCUCGUGUACGAGUACAUGGCGAACGGCAGCCUGGACGACUGCCUCUUCCGGCGCGGCGGCGCCACCGGCGGGCCGGUCAUCCCAUGGCAGCACCGGUUCCGCAUCUGCGCCGAGAUCGCCACGGGGCUCCUCUUCCUGCACCAGAAGAAGCCGGAGCCGCUGGUGCACCGCGACCUCAAGCCCGGCAACAUCCUCCUGGACCGCAACUACGUGAGCAAGAUCAGCGACGUCGGACUGGCGCGGCUGGUGCCGCCGACCGUCGCCGACACGGUGACGCAGUACCGGAUGACGUCGACGGCGGGGACCUUCUGCUACAUCGACCCAGAGUACCAGCAGACGGGGAUGCUGGGGGUCAAGUCGGACGUGUACUCGCUGGGCGUGAUGCUGCUGCAGAUCAUCACGGCGAAGCCGCCCAUGGGGCUGACGCACCACAUCGGGCGCGCGCUGGAGCGCGGGACGCUCGGCGAGCUGCUCGACCCGGCCGUGCCGGACUGGCCGGUGGAGGAGGCGCAGUGCCUGGCGGAGAUGGCGCUCCGCUGCUGCGAGCUGCGGCGGAAGGACCGGCCGGACCUCGGCAACGUCGUGCUCCCGGAGCUCAACCGCUUGCGCGCGCUCGGCGAGGACAACAUGCAGUUCUGCGGCGGCGCCAUCCGGGGCGGCCUCGGCGGGGGCAUGCACAGCUCGGCGUACCACAGCAACGUCACAGCGUCACGCGCCGCCGAAGCGAACAACGAUCCUUACCCGAUGAAGUCGGUGUUCAGCAGAGCGAGCGAAGCAUCCAUGCCUCCGAGAAGAACCAACGGCUGA